GUCGAACGCGAAAUCACCUUCGGGUGAAAGUAGAGUGGCGGACGGGUGAGUAACGCGUGGGAAUCUGCCUAGUAGUGGGGGAUAACUCGGGGAAACUCGAGCUAAUACCGCAUACGCCCUACGGGGGAAAGGCUUCGGCCGCUAUUGGAUGAGCCCGCGUCAGAUUAGCUUGUUGGUAGGGUAAAGGCCUACCAAGGCAACGAUCUGUAGCUGGUCUGAGAGGACGAACAGCCACACUGGGACUGAGACACGGCCCAGACUCCUACGGGAGGCAGCAGUGGGGAAUAUUGGACAAUGGGCGAAAGCCUGAUCCAGCAAUGCCGCGUGUGUGAAGAAGGCCUGCGGGUUGUAAAGCACUUUCAGUUGGGAAGAUGAUGACGUUACCAACAGAAGAAGCACCGGCUAACUCCGUG
rnacentral:rRNA from 1 species